CAUGAGGAUGAGAGCUGCUUUGUUCUAUCUGAUGGCUACUUUUCUGGUUCUGUGAUUUGGGGAAGAAGGGGAACAGAUUUCACAAAAUCCCCUUCAUGUCCUUACUUAGAAUGAGGCAAAGAAGAAAAGUACCACAUGUACUGUCCUGGGGCAGCACACUCAUGGGGCAACAAAGGCACAAAAUGGGGCCUGUAGAGGAUCCAAUGGUUGGCCAAGUGGCAAAGGAUUCAACUCUCUGUGAGGAUCUUAGGGGCACAGGCUCAGUGACGGCAAGACGGCAGAUAAUUUCACAGUGAGUAGCGCCUAGUGGGAGCUUUGGACAUGAUUUCUCUCUGGCUACCAGAACUCAUUCUA